rnacentral:rRNA from 1 species
AGAGUUUGAUCCUGGCUCAGGAUGAACGCUAGCUACAGGCUUAACACAUGCAAGUCGAGGGGCAGCAUGGUCUUAGCUUGCUAAGGCCGAUGGCGACCGGCGCACGGGUGAGUAACACGUAUCCAACCUGCCGUCUACUCUUGGACAGCCUUCUGAAAGGAAGAUCAAUACAAGAUGGCAUCAUGAGUCCGCAUGUUCACAUGAUUAAAGGUAUUCCGGUAGACGAUGGGGAUGCGUUCCAUUAGAUAGUAGGCGGGGUAACGGCCCACCUAGUCUUCGAUGGAUAGGGGUUCUGAGAGGAAGGUCCCCCACCAUUGGAACUGAGACACGGUCCAAACUCCUACGAGAGGCAGCA